rfam:Klebsiella pneumoniae subsp. pneumoniae DSM 30104 Contig00016, whole genome shotgun sequence.
AGAGAAAAACCGACCUUAAAUUGCGCGAACUGCAGCGAUCGCGUAUACUUUUGGCGUUGACGUAAUACAGUGUGCUUGCGGCUACCACCUGUAACCAUGCUGAUAAAAACCUCGCUCCGGCGGGGUUUUUU